CAACUAUCACCACAUAAAAGGUUAUACAAAAAAAAUUUGAUACCCAGCCCCAGUUUCGAGAUAUUUGUUGAAAAAAGUUUUACCUCUUCGCUACUUAGUGAAACAUUGUUUCCAUUUUAAUCAGUUCUCUGCGUUAGUAUCAAGCCGUUGUUCUCGGUAUUUAUUGAUGUUGUUUCAUGUACCACAGACAUUAUUGCAUUUAUGGAUUAUUGAUGGAUAUAACAUUUCCUUAGUUCUGGUUGAUUUAUCUCCAAGUUUCCUUUAUUGGGUAUAAAAAUCAGAGGAAGACGUCGAGAUGAAAUUUUUCAUUGGAAGAAUUUUCACAAUUUGACAUUCUCCGUUGAAUUUUUGUAUUUAAUCAGUGGAAUAUUAAUGCUAAUGAAAGUUUGUGUACGGUUUUAGGGAGAUUUAAAAUCAAACAGACAUUUUAAUGGUUUCUAGGUGGAAAAAUAGGUGUUAAUGAUACCAAUAAACCUCAUUCCCCUCCUGUGUUUUCAUUACCAUUUCAUUAGGACUAAUAGUGUCUGAAUGACGUGUGGAUGUGCUACCCCUUCCCUUAACAAUUUUAUUCACAUUCUCAAUGUAACAGUUAGAAAUACGGCGUCUUCUAGGGAAUUAGGAAUUCUAGUGGAAAAAGACGGCAAUCAAGGGAUUUUAUCCUCGCGAGUAUUUGAAAUUCGUGGGAAUACUCCAGUGACAAUGCAAAUAAUUUAAACUUAAACUCGCUGAAUAGAUUUUUUCUUUCAAUGUUUCGGCCAGUUUGAGGUUUUACGGACUAAGGGUAGUAAUUUACUUCUAGCUUAACUCGUAAUUUCGACGAAAAUCUCUAAAUUAGGAAUUUCUAUUUAAUUAGUAACGUAAUUUCGGGCAUUUUAAUUCGGCUGUGUUAGUAAGGGUGAAAAUGAAAAACGCGCAAAUUUUUGUCAGAGAUAAAUUGUAAAUUGGAGUAAUAAAUUUUCGUAAAAUUAAAUUAAGAGAUGAAUCUCUAGAAUAAUUUUUGUACCCUAUUUUUUUAACGAAUUGGCGUUUUGUAGUGCGAAAAGUACAUAAUGUGUUUCGAAAUUGAAUUAAAAUUGUGAGAUUUUAGGAAAUAAGGCGAGUCAGUAGCUGUAGGAAAAGUUUAAAACGAUUUGCAUUAACAGGAAGAAAAUUAAAAAAUGAACAACUGGAGAAUUCGAUGAAAAAAGUCACUCACAAUUAAUGAAAAUAGUAGAUACUUUGCUGUCGUCAACCCUCUGAAGAAUAAACCACCGCUAUUCUAAAGUUAUAAACUCAAGUCUCUUCGAUUGAACGCUGAAAGAGUCACGGGAGAAACCGAUUGGACGGCAUGGAAUGCGCAAUCCAAUGGAGCUCUUGCGAAAAAUAAUGAAACAAAAAAAAAAUGAUAAAAACGUGUUUUUAAAAUGCAAAUCAUGCUGGUAGUGCGGACCAAACGGGGGACAACUGAAGAGAAUUAUUCAGAAACUAAAUAACGAAAACGUGAAAAAGCCGCUCCAUCGGUAAUGCAAGUCGUUCACAUAGUCAUUAAGUCUUAAGAACGAACUUAUUAAGUAGAUCCACCACCUGAGGGGCUGUAAACUGGACCAUCACAUCGAGUUCAUUCCAUUUUCACACGCUGUGUAAUUAAACUCACCUCGUGAAGCACGAGCCAGUCCUCAGGGCCUGCACUGGAAAUAACUCGAGAUGCCAACGUUCAAAACUUUUAAUUGGAAUUGGCCCUAUUUACAUCUUCUCAAUUCGGUGGUCCAAGUUGCGCGAUUCAUUAAUUGGCAUUCGUGCUAUUCAAAGCGAUACGUUUAACGCAUAAGUCGAGAAAAUUUUUUCCACUUAAUUGUAAUUAUUAACGAGAUUAUAUCUCAACGCGAAUUUUUAUACAAUUUUUUAGGGCAAACAUUUAAUUAGUAUUUCGAUAUUUCGUGAGGUAAUUGAGGGCUCGAAGAGUGAGACGUGGUCAGCAGAUUGAAUAUUCAUUAGGUAUUCAAUGCCCUCAGUGGCUGAAUAUUUAUUAUCAAACUAAUUUUCAUAUUCAUUAAAAAUUUAUUGACUAUUUUUUUUAAAUUUAAUGUAGACAAUUCAUAACAUUGACCAUUGAGAAAUCGUUUUCUUACGUUAGAAAACUUUUUCUCUCUGUGCAGAAAUAAUUCUCAUCAACAGGAAAAUUCAACGAGCAUUUAAUUUUGCCGACUUUCUAAACAAAUUCAAAAGCAAUAAUUGUGAUAGCCUCUCUGCGUUUCACUGUUCACAACUCAACUCAGUCUCGAGGCGAUCGUCGAGGAUGCAAGCUCGUUAUUUCCCGCGAUAUAAUCACCGAUAAUAAAAAAAAAAAAAAAUGAGAGAUGAACGAGCUUUCCCCGACGAACUCGAGCGGCAAUGGGCGAUAGACUGCAAAAAGACGAAAAGAUUCAAAGAAUAAUAAAUUUCUCAAAAGCGGUUUUCAUCACGUGCGAGAAGAAAAAACAAGACAAAAAACAAUUUAACCAUGAAUUUUCAAUGUGUAUUAAUCGCAAUUGGUCGUAUUAAUUAUUUAAAACAUACGUAGAUUCAUAGGGCGUAGUAAACGUAAAAUGAUUACCGUCACAUCCCACUAGCUUAGUCAACGAGCCAAGUGUAUUUGUGACUCAUUGAAUCGUAAUUCAAAAUUAGAAUCAUCAUCGUUUAAUGAAAUUUUUGCUGCAAUACCACAGAUACACUGGCUCGAGAUGUAGUGGCCCGUGUGCGUGUUAUGUGUGUGUCUUAUUCGAAUGCACGAUAAAUUCUUAAUUGUUAAUUAAUUAAAGCAAGUCCUUUUAUCAAUCUAAUAAUCAUCGUCGAUGUCCUCGUUUCACCAUCGAUAAUAGUCAUUUGUUUACCCCACCCCUGUUUUGUUUGAAGACGAAGGAAAGAGUCGAAAAAUAUAUGACAAGACGUACCACCACAAGCCAGACACCAGAGCUCUUUCGAAUUACGAUGGUCUUAUCUAUUUGCUCCAUCCAUCUCGUUUUUGUUAGAGUUUUCAUCAACCUCCAAAGGGGAAAAAGGGGAGAAAGUGGAAGCAUUACGAGGAUACAAAGACAAAUUUUAGUACAGCCAAGAACCUUAAUUUUUGCGUAUAAUCGGCUGAAUUAUUUAAUAAAGUGGUGGGUCUCUGAUGUCUGGGUGAAGAAUUGGUCGUUUUGCCACGGAGACCUGGCUGCAGGCUGCCAGUUUCGCACGGGAAUUCUUUUUUUGCUGUGAGGGACGCUCUCGACGAACGAAACCGAAAUACAAAAAUAUAUAUCUAUACCCGGAGACCAGUGUUCUCCGAUAAUAUCCAAUCUAAUAUCGUCGUGUCUGGAAUUGACAUCCGGAGAGCAAAAAGCAAUUACGCGGAGUGUAGAGAAAAAGAAAGAAAAAAAAAGAUGUUCCGAGAACAGGAAGAGGACGUGAGUGAAACGAAAAAGAAUUAAGGCAGAGAUAUGAGAGACAGAUAAAAGCAGAGCAGAGGCAGCUGUGUCCCUUACAAUACCUCCCCCAUAAGAGUACAAAUUUUUCUAAUAAAUAAUAUUAUAUGGAAGGACGAAUAAUAUAAUGGAAUGGAGUUAAGUGGAAGGAUACGAACGCAAGACGGGAAUAAAAUCGAUUGAAAAUAAGAAAUAAAAAUUACGUAUUAACUAUUAUUGAGAAGCUGAAGCAAAGAGUGAAAAGAGUAAUAUGAAGAAUAAAGAAUUAAGGUUUUAAUGAUGUUUUCUCUGGUGUAGGAAUUAUUACGAUAAUUAUAAUUAUAUUGAAUAUAAUAAAUUAUUUAUAAGGUACGAGAACUACCUAUACCUAAUCUAGAGAAUGAGGUAACUAGACGUACCACUCGUGUAGUUGACUAAUUAACAGAUGGACAAAUUUAAAUAAUGAACUAAUGAAGGGAUAUGCAAGGAUUAACGAGAAAACCUCAAUUAUUGUAUCUGCAUUUAUCAAUUUUAUCUAUUGAACUGCCAUUAGGCGCUGAAUGUCUAACAAUAGCCAUCGACAGGUGUUGUUACAUCUGCUAUACAAAACACAUAGAUUUUAUGCCGGCAGGUGCCAAAAAAGGAAUAGGUGACAUUGCUUGUCAAAGGUGUCAAGCCCCUUCGUUGUAGUCUCAGUACAGACAAAAAUACCUUUUAUUUUUGGGAAUUUUAUCACUCAAAACUACAUACUCAUUUUUAUCAUUCUUCAAAAAGCUCCAUAAUGAAAGCAAGUAUAGGACUUUUUCAAUAAAUCAAUACCCCAUUCGAUUUAGUUAACAUUAUGAAGGUAUAAAUAAAUCUAAAUGAUAAAACAAAUACUUUUUAUUUCAUAAUGUUAGAAAGGAAAUGGCAGCAUUUCAGAAAAAGUUCCCUCGAAUGCGAAAUAUGACUUCUGAAACCGAUAAAUUUCUUUCUACGAUUGGAAAAAUCGUCGGAAAAAAGUGAUUAGUUCCCAAGCAUAAAAUCUAUUUUUUAUCGGAUAAAAAAUCUUUUUUUGUUUUAAAAAAUUCUAUAUAUUUAAAGGAAAUUGACUAGUACGCGUGGUGUAUUUAGUGCUGAAGUAGAUGCGUUGGGACUGGCGUGAGGAAUGGUGUGGAAUAGUCAGGGAUUCUGUAAAACCGUAGAAAACGUUGAUUUCAGGUGCAUUAUCAUCGCAUGCAUCCUCUCCCCUCCCCAUUAAUCGAACCUAGAAUCCCCCAUCAUCUCGUUAUUAAUCACGAUAACUCAAUGAAUGGAGCAAAAGCUCCGGUACUUUCAGGAAUCCAAAUACUGCCUGCGAAAUUACCAUUCGCUGAACUAAGACUCAAGAAACAUAACAGAAACAUGAAAACCAAAAGAAAAAAAAUAUCGGAAUUGCCGAGUUUUUGAUAAAUUUAUGGAUGAAUAAACGUGGAGAAUACGAGGACAACACUUCCCCGUCCCCGAGUGAUUUCAUUUCGAGUUCUCUCUACAUAAAUAUCAUUUAUUUCCCAAUAAAUUUCAUAAUAAAAUUGGCGACACGAAGAGUUGGCACAUCCGAUGCUCCAUAUUCGAAUAUUCAAGAGUUGCUUUGAAAAUUCGAGUAUCCGUGUUGAGAAUCGAGCUUCGGACGAGCUGGACUCGAUGUCAAAAAAAGAAAAAAAAAAAGAAAAAACGAAAAAUUUAAAGAAUAUAAAUGAAGUAGAGCGAGGAUAUAUUUUUGAUAAGAAUCUAUCUAAAUCGACACUCUCGGGGGGGAAUAAAGUAGUCGGAUAGGUUGUAAUGUAGUUAAGGGACAGCGAAGUGGUUGUCUGGCUUCGAAGUUGCUCACCUUGUGAUUAAAAAAAAAAUUCAAGUUGAAGCCGACGGUCUCCGGGGGAAGCAUUGGAGCACGGCGAAGGCAGAACCAAAAAUGAAUGAUCGUAGAAUAAUCGAACCGGUGCCACAGGAUAAAAUUAAUCGCGAGAAUUGAAGUCGCUGUGGAUGCCAUGAAAAAAAAAACCGGUUCUCCCUUUGAAUUUUUUCACGAACUUCGUCCUGCUUCGGUCAAGUCGACACCCGAGGGGCCUCGGCUUCGGAUAAAACUCGACGUUUAUUCACCCAGGGAAGAGAAUAACGGAGCACUUUCGUACGCACAUUUACAAUUAUACGUAAUGAAAUAUCUGUGGAAUUUUGCAAACUGAAUUUUUACGAAAAAUAAUUAAUAAUAAUAUUUCUACCAGUUUUUACUUAACAACUUUAAAAAUAGCUGAAAUUAAUGAUUAUUAUGAUAGAACUCAUAGUAAAAAAGGAAAAAAAAAACACACAAGCUGUGGUACAACAUGGGAUGUAUGCGUGUUAUAUUUCAUCCGUACUAAUACUUAUUAUCAUUAUUCAAUUAUCAUUAUUACGAUGGAAAAAAAUAAUAUUGUCAUUACAUGAUUAAUUGAUUAAUUAUUAUUACAAUCGUUAGAGUAUAAAAGUUGAUAUUUAAUGAAUUGGUAUUGUAAUUGUAUGCACUAUAUUUGUUUGGUUGGCUUUUGAUGAGAAAGGGGCGAGAGUCUAAUAUAGAAAAAUGAAAUAAUGAAAAAUAAAACUCGGGUUAUUAGAUACCUACUACGCUGUACCUUUCGCCGGUGGGGGUCAACAAUGUCCUGGUGUGAGUGAAUGGGCUUUUAAAAUACGAGAAAGUACGAGAAUAAUGCAAUCAUGAGUGAGGGGAAAUGCUGAGAGUGCGGAGAAAAAUACUUGGGGUUGUAAAUUACAUAGCACUGAAGUGCGUCGUAAAAAUGACGACGUGAAAUCAUUGAAGACACGAGAAUUUCAACGCACCCAACGCACUCGUUGCUAUAGCCAAUAGAAAUAAUUCCACAAUUCUCGGUCCAAUGUGUAAAGCUAAAUUAAACUUUCUAGAUAAUAUUAAAUAUCCGGAAAUUUCAAUUUAUCUAGAUUCAAUGGAGUUAUUGUAAAUCAAUGAAUGCACAGUGAAAAAUCAGUAAAAAAAAAUUUCAUGAUAUUACGAAAGAAACAAACUAUUUCUUCAUGAUAAAAAAAAAUAGUUUCUAGAUAAAAAAAAAUCUUUUCGAAUUCAGACCAUCAUUCUAACUUGGUUUAAAAAUAAAUAUCGAAAUAACUUGAUUUCUGUGAACACAGAGGCUCCCCCGAAAAUGGAGAAAUGGUUACAAAAUACAGACAGAUAAACGCUGGGCGUUAAUCUCUAGUAUUCCCUACGAAUAAAAGCCCAAAGCUCAAGAUAUCCACCUCCACAACCAGAGACAAACCUCCUUAAUUAAUAAAUAAAAGAAAAUACACAAUUCCCAUCGGCCUGCAUCUGAGAGGGAAUGAAAAAGAAGACGUUGGCACGAUGUUGGAAAAAUAAAGCCAAUUGUUGGACGAUUGAUUUAUUUGCCCGCCAAACGUCCAGUGAUCUCUAUGAAUGCGAAAAAAAAUUGCUUCUAUUAGAAAUUGAAUGAAAAAUGGUAUAUCAGCGUGUAUGACGUAACAUUACCACGCAUUGAACUAUUCAACUCUUCGAUGUAUGGACAAGUGGUCAUUACUUUAAUUUCUUCCACAUUACUUUGGCUUGUACGGCAAUCCCACCGACAAUUUACAAACACAACGACAUUUAAUUAUAGAAAUUGCUUUAACGAAUGAAACAAAAAGCGUCUAGAGAUGAGUGAAAUAGAGCGUCUCUUAGAAAAAAAAAA